rnacentral:rRNA from 1 species
UUAUCGGAAUGAGAACAAUUCAAAUCCUUUAACGAGGAUCUAGCGGAGGGCAAGUCUGGUGCCAGCAGCCGCGGUAAUUCCAGCUCCGCAGGUGUAUAUCUAUGCUGCUGCGGUUAAAAAGCUCGUAGUUGGAUCUGCGUGCUCGGAACAGGUUGGCUCACUGAGUUCAAACUGGUCUCCGGCGCUUUAUUGGCUGGUUUUCCCUUGAUGCUCUUAACCGGGUGUCUUGGGUGGCUAGCACGUUUACUUUGAAAAAAUUAGAGUGCUCAAUACAGGCGUAAAGCCUUGAAUAGUGGUGCAUGGAAUAAUAGAAUAGGACCUCGGCUCUAUUUUGUUGGUUUUCGGAACGCGAGGUAAUGAUUAAGAGGGACAGACGGGGGCAUUCGUAUUGCGACGUUAGAGGUGAAAUUCUUGGAUCGUCGCAAGACGGACGACUGCGAAAGCAUUUGCCAAGAAUGUUUUCAUUAAUCAAGAACGAAAGUUAGAGGUUCGAAGGCGAUCAGAUACCGCCCUAGUUCUAACCGUAAACGAUGCCAACUAGCGAUUCGCAGGCGUUAAACAACGACCUUGCGGGCAGCUUCCCGGAAACGAAAGUGUUCGGGUUCCGGGGGAAGUAUGGUUGCAAAGCUGAAACUUAAAGGAAUUGACGGAAGGGCACCACCAGGAGUGGAGCCUGCGGCUUAAUUUGACCCAACACGGGAAAACUCACCCGGCCCGGACACCGUAAGGAUUGACAGAUUGAGAGCUCUUUCUUGAUUCGGUGGGUGGUGGUGCAUGGCCGUUCUUAGUUGGUGGAGCGAUUUGUCUGGUUUAUUCCGAUAACGAACGAGACUCUGGCCUACUAAAUAGUGGGCGGAUUCUUUCUGUCCGCAACACUUCUUAGAGGGACAAGCGGUGUUCAGCCGCACGAGAUUGAGCAAUAACAGGUCUGUGAUGCCCUUAGAUGUCCGGGGCUGCACGCGCGCUACACUGAAGGAAUCAGCGUGCUUUCUGACCUUGCCCGAAAGGGCUGGGUAACCCGAUGAAAAUCCUUCGUGAUUGGGAUAGGGACUUGCAAUUAUUUCCCUUGAACGAGGAAUUCCCAGUAAGUGUGGGUCAUAAGCUCGCGUUGAUUACGUCCCUGCCCUUUGUACACACCGCCCGUCGCUGCCCGGAACUGAGCCGUUUCGAGAAGAACAGGGACCGUCGUUGAAGGGCCUUAACGGGCUUUUCUCUGAUAGAAACUGUU